rnacentral:rRNA from 1 species
AUUGAACGCUGGCGGCAGGCUUAACACAUGCAAGUCGAGCGGAGAUGAGGUGCUUGCACCUUAUCUUAGCGGCGGACGGGUGAGUAAUGCUUAGGAAUCUGCCUAUUAGUGGGGGACCACAUUCCGAAAGGAAUGCUAAUACCGCAUACGUCCUACGGGAGAAAGCAGGGGAUCUUCGGACCUUGCGCUAAUAGAUGAGCCUAAGUCAGAUUAGCUAGUUGGUGGGGUAAAGGCCUACCAAGGCGACGAUCUGUAGCGGGUCUGAGAGGAUGAUCCGCCACACUGGGACUGAGACACGGCCCAGACUCCUACGGGAGGCAGCAGUGGGGAAUAUUGGACAAUGGGGGGAACCCUGAUCCAGCCAUGCCGCGUGUGUGAAGAAGGCCUUAUGGUUGUAAAGCACUUUAAGCGAGGAGGAGGCUACUGAGACUAAUACUCUUGGAUAGUGGACGUUACUCGCAGAAUAAGCACCGGCUAACUCUGUGCCAGCCGCCGCAGUAACAC